CCUACGGAGGGCAGCAGGGAGGAAUAUUGGUAAAUGGGCGGAAGCCGGAACCAGCAUAGCAGCGUGCAGGAUGACGGCCCUACGGGUUGUAAACUGCUUUUAUACGGGAAUAACGCGCCUUACGUGUAGGGCUUUGCAUGUACCGUAUGAAUAAGGACCGGCUAAUUCCGUGCCAGCAGCCGCGGUAAUACGGAAGGUCCGGGCGUGAUCCGGAUUUAUUGGGUUUAAAGGGAGCGUAGGCCGCAUGUCAAGCGUGCUGUGAAAUGUCCGGGCUCAACCCGGGCCUGGCAGCGCGAACUGGCGUGCUUGAGUCCGCGGAAAGCAGGCGGAAUUCGUCGUGUAGCGGUGAAAUGCUUAGAUAUGACGAAGAACCCCGAUUGCGAAGGCAGCUUGCUGCAGCGGAACUGACGCUGAUGCUCGAAAGCGCGGGUAUCGAACAGGAUUAGAUACCCCAGUAGUC
rnacentral:rRNA from 1 species